CCUACGGGUGGCAGCAGUCGAGAAUAAUUCACAAUGGGGGAAACCCUGAUGGUGCGACGCCGCGUGGGGGAAUGAAGGUCUUCGGAUUGUAAACCCCUGUCAUGUGGGAGCAAAUUAAAAAGAUAGUACCACAAGAGGAAGAGACGGCUAACUCUGUGCCAGCAGACGCGGGAAUACAGAGGUCUCAAGCGUUGUUCGGAAGCACUGGGCGUAAAGCGUGCGUAGGCUGUUUCGUAAGUCGUGUGUGAAAGGCGCGGGCUCAACCCGCGGACGGCACAUGAUACUGCGAGACUAGAGUAAUGGAGGGGGAACCGGAAUUCUCGGUGUAGCAGUGAAAUGCGUAGAUAUGGAGAGGAACACUCGUGGCGAAGGCGGGUUCCUGGACAUUAACUGACGCUGAGGCACGAAGGCCAGGGGAGCGAAAGGGAUUAGAUACCCCAGUAGUC
rnacentral:rRNA from 1 species